rnacentral:rRNA from 1 species
GACGAACGCUGGCGGCGUGCUUAACACAUGCAAGUCGAACGGAAAGGCCCUGCUUUUGUGGGGUGCUCGAGUGGCGAACGGGUGAGUAACACGUGAGUAACCUGCCCUUGACUUUGGGAUAACUUCAGGAAACUGGGGCUAAUACCGGAUAGGAGCUCCUGCUGCAUGGUGGGGGUUGGAAAGUUUCGGCGGUUGGGGAUGGACUCGCGGCUUAUCAGCUUGUUGGUGGGGUAGUGGCUUACCAAGGCUUUGACGGGUAGCCGGCCUGAGAGGGUGACCGGCCACAUUGGGACUGAGAUACGGCCCAGACUCCUACGGGAGGCAGCAGUGGGGAAUAGUGGACAAUGGGCGGAAGCCUGAUGCAGCAACGCCGCGUGCGGGAUGACGGCCUUCGGGUUGUAAACCGCUUUCGCCUGUGACGAAGCGUGAGUGACGGUAAUGGGUAAAGAAGCACCGGCUAACUACGUG